rnacentral:rRNA from 1 species
AAACUUGAGAGUUUGAUCAUGGCUCAGAACGAACGCUGGCGGCAUGCCUAACACAUGCAAGUCGAACGAGUGCCUUCGGGUGCUAGUGGCGCACGGGUGCGUAACGCGUGGGAAUCUGCCCUUUGGUUCGGAAUAACAG